AUUGAACGCUGGCGGCAUGCCUAACACAUGCAAGUCGAACGGUAACAGGCCCUUCGGGGUGCUGACGAGUGGCGGAUGGGUGAGUAAUACUUAGGAAUCUACCCUGUAGUGGGGGACAACCCGGGGAAACUCGGGCUAAUACCGCAUACGCUCUACGGAGGAAAGCGGGGACCGCAAGGCCUCGCGCUAUUGGAUGAGCCUAAGCCCGAUUAGCUAGUUGGUGGGGUAAUAGCCUACCAAGGCAAUGAUCGGUAGCUGGUCUGAGAGGACGACCAGCCACACUGGGACUGAGACACGGCCCAGACUCCUACGGGAGGCAGCAGUGGGGAAUAUUGGACAAUGGGCGCAAGCCUGAUCCAGCCAUACCGCGUGGGUGAAGAAGGCC
rnacentral:rRNA from 1 species